rnacentral:rRNA from 1 species
CGCCUACGGGGCGCAGCAGUGAGGAAUAUUGGUCAAUGGGCGCAAGCCUGAACCAGCCAAGUCGCGUGAGGGAAGACGGCCCUACGGGUUGUAAACCUCUUUUGCCGGGGAGCAAGCCUGAGCACGUGUGCCCAGGCGGAGAGUACCCGGAGAAAAAGCAUCGGCUAACUCCGUGCCAGCAGCCGCGGUAAUACGGAGGAUGCGAGCGUUAUCCGGAUUUAUUGGGUUUAAAGGGAGCGUAGACGGGAAAUUAAGUUAGUUGUGAAAUCCCUCGGCUUAACUGAGGAACUGCAACUAAAACUGAU